ACUGGUUUCAGCGGCAGAGAAGAAAGAUGGUAGGUUCGUAAAUGCAGAAUUGGAAAUACAGAGGAAACAAUUAAGGAAAUGUCAUAUUUUCAUUCAUAGUUCCCUCUGUACCAGAUAUCAGGUACUUUAUACAUGAUUUGGAUGAUGCCACAUGGCAGUCAUACCGAGGGAAAAGGAUAACCGUUUCCUAGCUUUUCGGGAAAUAGAAUCUAAGUUAUGCGAUGAUCUUGCAGAGUGAUAUGGAUAGUGCAGGGUGAUGUAGUGUGGGUGACGGUCCUAUCAAUCCUGCCCCGAAGAAAACAGACCUGUCCUCAGGGCUGGAAGUGAGGAAAACGUUGCUCAAUGUCUGUAGCAUCCUCCCAAGUGGCAUCCUCCUCAGGUAAACCAGACCACUGAAUCAGCCAACGAACCACAGGCUGGUUACGGCGUUUGAAAAGCCCACGAUUGAGAAUUUUGGCUGGAAUCCAAUGCACAGAACUAUCAGGACGUAAGGGAGGAAGUGUUGGGGAUGAAGUGAGGUGAGCACCAAUUUUCUUCUUGAGCAGAGAGACAUGAAAGACAUUAUGAAUUUUUGAGCCAGAUGGUAAGGCAAGCUUGUAAGCCCUUUCUCCAAUCUUUGCCAGGAUUUUGUAUGGACCAUAAAACCGUGGGGACAACUUGGGGCAGUUAGAAGUACCCAUGGUGGACUGUCGAUAGGGUUGGAGGCGCAAGAAGACCCAAUCAUCCACAUCAAAAUGGCGUUCCGAACGUUUGUGAUUUGCAAAAAAUGUCAUACGCUCUUGAGCAAUUUGCAUGUUCUGUCGGAGUCGUCGCAAUAAGGUGUCACGGUCACGCAGGGCGAGAUCCACAGCUUGUACAGCAGAGGAACCUGAAGUAUAAAAUUCGACCGAGGGAGGGGGUUGGCCAUAAAUUGCUUGGUAUGGAGUCAUUUUGAUGGCGGAGUGAUACGUGGUGUUAUACCACCAUUCGGCCCAUGGUAACCAGGAAACCCAGGACGUGGGUUUGUCCCCCACAAAACAACGAAGGUAGUGUUCCAAAGUGCGAUUGAGAACUUCAGUUUGACCGUCGGAUUGCGGGUGAUAUGCAGAACUAUGGCAGAGUUUAGUGCCCUGGUGUGUAAAGAAAGAUGUCCAGAAUUGGCUUGUAAACGUUGGAUCCCUGUCACUCACAAUGGUCCGGGGCAUCCCAUGGAGUUUAAAAACUUCACGAAUAAACAAAUCUGCAACCUGUGAAGCUGUAUACGGAUGUUUGAUGGGAAUAAAAUGCCCAUAUUUGGACAAGCGGUCAACAACGACAAGGAUGGCGUUCUUCCCGUUGACUGAGGGUAAUCCCUCCACAAAAUCCAUGGCAAUAUCUUGCCAAAUGGAAUCAGGUAUGGGCAAAGGCUGGAGCAACCCGGGUGGGUGUAAAGCUUCAUAAUUUUGGCGCUGGCAAGUGUCACAGGCUGCUACAAAUGCCUGCACAUCUUUCUUUAAUCCUGGCCAACGAAAAUUACGGAGUAUGCGCUUGUAUGUGCGGAGUUGUCCUGAGUGUCCCCCCAUUGGAGUGGAAUGAAAUUCCUCCAAGAUCAUGGUACGCCAUUGAGAAGAAACAGGGACAAAGACGCGCUCCUUGUAGUAGAGGCAAUUAUUCUGCCAUGAAUAAUGAGGUUUGGCAGUAGGAUCAGCUUGGAGGAGGCUAAUAAGUUGUUGAGCCUCACUGUCGAAAGUAUAAGCCUGUUGAAUCUGGGGGAUACAGUCAAAAAUGGGAGUGGAUAAACCCAUAAUAGCCAAUAAUUCCGACUUCCUAGACAAAGCAUCAGGGCCCGCAUUCUUGCUUCCCGCACGAUACUCGAUUUCAUAGUUGUACCCAAGUAAUUUGAGCAACCAUUUCUCUUGAGUGGGAGUGGUGAUGCGUUGUUCCAAAAAAUGCUUGAUGGUUUGGUGAUCUGUGACAAUUUUAAAUUGUCGACCCAGCAAAUAUGGACGCCAUUGUUGCACUGCCAGAACCACUGCUAGCAUCUCCUUGUCAUAAACCGACAAGGAACGAUGCCUUUCAGAUAGGGAUUUGCUAAGAUAUGCUAUCGGUCGUUGCUCCUGGGACAAAAUGGCACCCACCCCAUUGUUAGAGGCAUCCGAUUCCACGACAAACUGUUUGGAGAAGUCUGGUAAGCGGAGGACAGGAGUGGUUGUUAAAGCAGUUUUGAGGGCUUGGAAAGCAGAGUCUGCCGCCGGGCUCCAAUGGAAGUUGUCUUUGCGUAAGAGAUCUGUUAGCGGCUUGGAGAUUGUACCAAAAUGAUGAACGAAUUUGCGGUAAUAUCCCGCUAAACCCAGAAAACCACGCAACCCUUUGACUGUCUCAGGUCGUGGCCAAUUAUCAAUGCACUGAAUUUUCUUUUUAUCCACUGAUACCCCUGCUUCAGAUAUGGUGUGACCCAAAUAAUCGACAGUGGAUUGAGCAAAUGUGCAUUUAGAAGCCUUCACUUUGAGUUGAGCAACCCGUAACACCUCAAACACAGUGGUUAAGUGAUGGACAUGUUCAUUCAAAGUACGACUAUAUACCAAUAUAUCGUCAAAAAAUACAAGGACAAACUUACGCAGGUAAGGGCGGAAGAUGUCGUUCAUGAGGGCCUGGAAUGUGGAUGGGGUGUUGGAUAAGCCGAAUGGCAUUACCAGGAAUUCGUAGUGCCCUUCGUGUGUCCGAAAUGCCGUCUUCGGAAUGUCAGCGUCCCUCAUGCGGAUUUGAUGGUACCCGGAACGCAAAUCCAGUUUGGAGAACCAAGCGGCCCCAUUUAAUUCAUCUAGCAUCUCAUCAAUGACUGGUAUUAGAAAUUUAUCCUUGACUGUUACCUGAUUUAGAGCGCGAUAAUCAACACAGAACCUCCAAGUCCCUUCUUUCUUGCUGACCAGAAGCACCGGAGAGGAGAACGGACUCGAACUUCUCCUAAUGAUCCCAGCUUGCAGCAUAGCCUUCACUUGAGACUCAAUUUCAGCUUUUUGCCAGUGAGGGUAUCGAUAUGGUCUGACAUUAAUCGGUCCCGUACCUGGUAGCAAUGGGAUACGAUGAUCAAUGGCGCGAGAGGGGGGUAACCCCAGAGAUUCCUCAAAUAAAUCAGAAAAUGGCGUCAACAAGCCUUGAACACUUAGUGGAAUGGGACACAUGAUCCCCUGGUCUGUUGGAGUCCGGAGAAAUUGCUCUUCUUUCUCCAGCAUAGUGAACACUGCGGAUGCAGGGGGGUUGCCAAUGCCCCCAUUACCCUUGCUGCCCUGUAAACGAUAAUUGUUGCCAUCCACUGUAAAUUCCAUGAUCUUAUCUCUGAAAUGCCAGCCAAUGAGUCCCAACGUCUCUAACCAUUCAACCCCCAAAACUAAAUCACAUCCAGAUACAGAGAGGAGGCAAAAGUCACCUUGAAAUUCAAAGGCCUAGAGUUUCACUGGCACUGCAUAAACCAUACCUUUCGUGCCAUACGACUGACCCGUGGCAACCAUUAUUUUUUCUAUUUUUUGAGUAUCAAUGGGUGUCUUCAGCUGUGUGGCGAUAUUGGGGUUAAGGAAAUUACGAUCAGCCCCAGAAUCGAUGAACACCCGUAUCGGAAUACCCUCAAUAGAACCCUGUAAUCGCAUUGCCCUGCCGCGGGUCCGUUUCCUGUCUGCCAGCGCAUGGAGGUGUAUGGUCGUGUCCUCAAUGACAGGUUGGUGUUCCUCAUCUGCGGUGGGUUUCGAGAUGUCAAUGGUGGGUUCAAUCAUACCAUCCAACAAGCUCUCGGAUUCAAUCAUCAAGAUGUAGGGCUGUUUGCAACGAUGGCCUGGAGAAUAAGCCUCAUCACAGCUGAAACACAACCCCUUCUGGCGCCGUUCUUGAAGUUCAGCUUGGGUCCGUCGAAAAAUUGGGCGGUUGGUUGGCGGGUGCGCUGUAGCUGCUUUAGGAGCUGGAGAAAAGGUGGGAGUGGUUUGAGGUGUGUAACGGGUGGUGGGUUGGGAACCUGUAAACCUAGAGUUGAAAGUUUUGUGCCCUGUUUUCUUUUUCAGCUUGUUUUCAAAUAUCUGGGCAAGUUCCAUGGCACGGGCCAAGGAGUGUGGUUCCAGGGCAAUGACAUCAUCUUGUAUGUCCUCCUUAAGCCCCCCUACAAAGGUGCCCAGCAAUUGCUCAUCAGUCCAGCCCACUGCUCGGCAAGAGAGCUUAAUGAAAAGACCCACAAACUCAGCCACUGACCCGGUCUGUUUAUUGUGGGACAAGCCCAUAUUGACAUUUAGGGCUUCAUCCGGCCCAAAGCGCUGUAGCAACAUCUCGGAGAAGACGACCCAUGAAUCGCGUAGGUAACGCGACUCAAACCACUUCAUCCACAGGGCGGCGUCGCCACCCAGAUGCAUCGCCGCCACCAUGACCUUCUGAUGGUCUUCCACCUCAUGGUAGUCGAGGAAACGUUCGGCCAUUGCUAACCACCCAUAUGGGUCCUCACCGUAGAAGCGUGGAAGAUCCAGCUUCAUUGGUUUCAUGGAGCUGUAUGAAGUAUUCGGGUGAGACAUGGGAUUAGGACUUGGGAUAGGGUGGGUAAAUUGUCCCAGUGGAAUAAAGGGGGAAAAGUUUGAUGUAGGAAGUUGGGUGGAGCCGUGAGAUGGGUGGGGAAUUUGGGUUGUGACCGAAGGGUGAUGGGAUCUGAGCGGUUCUGGUAUGAAACUUGGACCUGCGGUUGUGGAGAGAUUUGGCAAGAUAUGGGGUGUUGGUGAACCCAUGGAAGUGGGCAACGAUGACGGAGGUAUGGUGGGCAUGGAGGCCAUACUCGGUUGGUUGUAGCUAAAAAUCGGACUAGUAGAUGGACGUACCCAUGCUGAUGGCAACGGUUGUGUUGGUACCGUUUGGCGGGAGGGAGAGACGGAAGGGUGAGGAAAAGCUGGGCUUCGAGCUCGUAAGGUCCGAAGUUCGUCCAUCACCGUUUUCUGGAAGGUCCAGUUCUGGGUUUGUUGGUCGCUUAAUGUGGUAAGUGUUUUCAAGAUUUCUGUGACGUCGCUUUGUACCUCGUCCUGGCGUUGAGAGACGGUGGUCACCGUAUUCUGGAAUUCUUGGAGCUGAGCUUCCAGUUGUUCACGUUGAAGGUCCGUCUCGACUUCAGCCACAGUGGCCAGUCCUGCCGUUAGCGUGGCCUGGGAUUUUUUUCCCAUCGGAAGCAACCAGGCUCUAGAUACCAAAUGGUAGGUUCGUAAAUGCAGAAUUGGAAAUACAGAGGAAACAAUUAAGGAAAUGUCAUAUUUUCAUUCAUAGUUCCCUCUGUACCAGAUAUCAGGUACUUUAUACAUGAUUUGGAUGAUGCCACAUGGCAGUCAUACCGAGGGAAAAGGAUAACCGUUUCCUAGCUUUUCGGGAAAUAGAAUCUAAGUUAUGCGAUGAUCUUGCAGAGUGAUAUGGAUAGUGCAGGGUGAUGUAGUGUGGGUGAUGGUCCUAUCAAAAGAAGAAGAAGGAAGAAGGAAGAAGGAAGAAAAUAACUUACUUGCACUUGCAGCUUCUGCGAAUCUCCAGUUGCAAUCAGCCAAGAAGAGGUGGCUAACUCGUGAAGAAGAUGAUGUUAGGUUCCC
rnacentral:lncRNA from 1 species